CAUUGCCCCAAUUCCUACAGAAAGAUAACAAAUGGAAAUGAAUAGAUGCUGAGGUGAUGGAAUGAAUGCACUGAGACUGGCUGGCGAAUCUGCCAACUGAACCUCCCCAAAUGCACCAUGAAGUACCAUGGAGAAAAUCAGAUAGUGGAAGAAGGCAAAUUCGAGGGUACAUCCUGGAACUGAGUGUUGGCUAGACCACUGCACUAACUUCAAUGUACUCACCAAUUUUGUGAUAAAGCUCAGGGAGCUGGACUUCAAUCUUUUCUCUUUGAAAUAUAUGA